rnacentral:rRNA from 1 species
UACGAAGGGGACUAGCGUUGUUCGGAAUCACUGGGCGUAAAGCGCACGUAGGCGGAUAUGUCAGUCAGGGGUGAAAUCCCGGGGCUCAACCUCGGAACUGCCUUUGAUACAGCAUAUCUCGAGUCCGGGAGAGGUGAGUGGAACUGCGAGUGUAGAGGUGAAAUUCGUAGAUAUUCGCAAGAACACCAGUGGCGAAGGCGGCUCACUGGCCCGGUACUGACGCUGAGGUGCGAAAGCGUGGGGAGCAAACAGG